rnacentral:lncRNA from 10 species
AUGCAAAAUGAGGCAGAACUUAGCUUGUCACAUAGGUGUAUUCUUCCUGGAACCGAUGCGGGGUCAGAAAACUGAUGGCUUUUAAGCAAGCUGGACGGGUCCUCUCAGCGCAUUCCCCCACCCGCCUGGCGCCAAUGGAGCUGGCCUGGCCCGCCCAGCCCCUCCCCGCCCCGUCCGCGCUCGGACCGGACUUUCAGGACUGCAGGGGAAAGGGUGGACACCCAGCCUCCCGCCAGGUCAGAGCAGAGGCUAAAAAUGGCCCAGGGGAGACUGCUGGAGUUGCAUGGAGUUCGGGAGCCUAGGAGGGGUCUGAAAAUAACUGUCAAAAAGUUUGAAGGGAGGAUACAAAAAUACAUCAGUUUGCAAACCAGAAGAAGGUCCUCACCAGAAACCAACUAUGCUGGCACCCUGAUCUUGGACUUCUAGCCUCCAGAACUGUGAGAAAUAAAUGUGUGUUUAUAAACCAGUCAGUCAGUCUAUGGUGCUUUAUUAUAGCAUCUGGAACGAGCUAAGACAGCUGCUAAGUAGCAUUCCAUUUGACAAGGAAGACUUACCAUUCACACUACUUCUGAGUUCAAUGAAAGAGAGGCUCGGUUCCUUACCUGUAAAAUAGAGAUCAUAUAGAGAUGUCGGGAAGAUUUAA